rnacentral:misc_RNA from 1 species
CAAUAUUUAUUUAGUCUUCAGAGAUACGCGUUAAAAAGUACGUGCACGUGGUCGUGUAUUAAGCUUCGUCAUUAGAGUGGAGGAAUCAUUGAAAAAAUUGAUCGAAACAUUAUGACUGUUAACUUUAUGAUGAAAAAUGGUAAAAGUUUUUUCUGGCCAGAUAUCGCUGAUCGUCAAACUGUGACUACUAGAAAUGGAAUCUUAUGUCAGCUAGUGCAUCCACCUGAACCAGUUUCCAAUAGAUUCUACAAAAUACAAGAAUAUGACUAUAUUGAUAAUUUAUUUAAAUCUUCAGUUUAGAUGUUGUAUGGUAAAGGAAUGAAAUCAAGUGAAUGGUUUCACAUAGCUGAUGUUUCUUUUUUUAUUAUUUCUACAUUUUUUUGGGGCAAAAUGUUAAAAUGAAAUGUUCUUUUUUCUUUUAAUAUAAGUUGAUUUUUGAUGUAAACUUAGGGGUUGUUUUAUUUUUUAUCAUUAGAGUGGCAGGUAAAUCAUUAGAAUGGACAUUUUUUUUCAAAAAACCUAUAUAUAAAAAGAAUUAAGCUCAACUUUCUAUCACAUUUAAUUAAGAACCUCUCA